rnacentral:pre_miRNA from 1 species
CAUGGCACCUCCAUUUCCCUGAGGAGCCCUUUGAGCCUGGAGUGAAAAAAAAAACAGGUCAAGAGGCGCCUGGGAACUGGAGAAGAGUGUUAAACUUC